rnacentral:lncRNA from 1 species
CAGGGACUCAGGGCCACGCCGCUCUGGCUGAUGGCUCGCCGGAUGAGGCCCUUGUUGUAGGGGGAGAGGGUCUACGGGACCCAGAAAUCCCGUCACCAAGGCCGCUCCCCACUCUGCCCACCCCACGCUGGGACAAGGACACCCCAGCACCACAGCCCCAGCUCCACGCUCCUCCUCCCACCCUCCCCUUCCCGUUUGAGCUUCCUCUCAACCUGUGGGGCAGGCCCUCCCCACAGGGAUCCCGAGACCUGCAGAGAGACGCUGGCACCUCCAGCAGACUCCCCGAAGAGCGUGAUGUUAUUGGCGUCCCCAGUGCUGAGGAACCCAAGGGGGCCGACACGGUAGUUGAAGGUGACCACGAUGACGUUUCCGCGUGUGGCGAUCUCCUCGCCGUCAUACAGGCAGUCUUCAUCCCCGUAGGUGCUGUCCUGGGUGAUGGUGGCCUGCAGGCAUCUCUUCUUGAAGUUCUUGGCCUUCAGGGUCCCU